rnacentral:rRNA from 1 species
UGGGGAAUAUUGGACAAUGGGCGAAAGCCUGAUCCCGCCAUGCCGCGUGUGUGAAGAAGGUCUUCGGAUUGUAAAGCACUUUAAGUUGGGAGGAAGGGCAGUAAGCGAAUACCUUGCUGUUUUGACGUUACCAACAGAAUAAGCACCGGCUAACUCUGUGCCAGCAGCCGCGGUAAUACAGAGGGUGCAAGCGUUAAUCGGAAUCACUGGGCGUAAAGCGCGCGUAGGUGGUUCGUUAAAUUGAAUGUGAAAGCCCCGGGCUCAACCUGGGAACUGCAUCCAAAACAGGCGAGCUAGAGAAGGGCAGAGGGUGGUGGAGUUUCCUGUGUAGCGGUGAAAUGCGUAGAUAUAGGAAGGAGCACCAGUGGCGCAGGCGACCACCUGGGCUCAUACUGACACUGAGGUGCAAAAGCGUGGGGAGCAAACAGG